UUUAUCUUCCGUUUUGGAUCGUGGAAGUCGGCAAUGAAAACGAGUCUUUUGCUGAGUUUUCACAGAAUUACCUUAAUUUUAAUCGUGUGUUUUAUAUUUUAUGUCUUGUGGAAUUUAAAGAGUAAAACAGGUGCGAUGCGUGACCAAACGCUGGACUAUUUCUUCAGUCGGAGUUUUAUAACGAGGAUGGACGCUGCCGAGGUUAGCUGGUCGCAUGCAGCGAACAGCAGGAGCAGGCUGGCGGAGGCGCUCACAGGUCCUUCUCUUAUGAUUGAAGCUGACAUUAUCAUGAGAGGUCGUGAUCCCAAAGAGCCAAUCAUGGCACAUCCCCCUGAUACAGACAGUGACAUCACUCUGAGGGAAUGGCUGGAGGGAGUGAAAGAGUACGGCAAGGGGAUAAAGCUGGACUUUAAGAGUAUGCAGGCUGUGUCACCAUCUUUAGUCCUGCUGCAGGAGGUGCUGACUGAGCCAUACCGUCCUGUGUGGAUCAACGCAGACAUCUUCUUGGGUCCUGGGGGGCAGAUCGGACCUCUGGAGCAUCACACCUUCCUCUCUGUUGUGACUCCUCUUCCCUCACACACUGUGCUGUCUCUGGGCUGGACUACAGGAUGGACUGCUGGGACAGAUAAUCCAGAACCAGCUGAUUCUGCAGCAGAUCAUCCCCUGUUGCUUCUCUUUGCUCCCCAGUCCCUGAGCUCCUGCUGCUGCACCCACAGAGGAGGACAGCUCCGAGGCAGAUGAGGGACGGGUCCCAGGACGGUCCAUCGGUGGUGGAGCUGGCCAUCCUGGUGUCCCUGAAGAGGCCACGCCAGUCUCCAAUGGAGCAUUUCCUCCUCAGCCUUGUUCCUGCUCUGGAGAGCAGCUCGGUCCUUUUUAUUCCUGUCUCUCUAGCUCCACAGCAGAGAGGGAAGUUCCAGCGCUCCUGGAAUCCCUCUGUGAUGGACCGCCAGUCUCCAGGUGAAGGCACAGCCAUGAAGUCGUCCACUAGACAGUCCCAAAUGGCCGUCGCUACCUGGGGGGUGAUCUGGCACACCGUGGACACACCGACUCUGAAACUGAACGCGAUGGUCCUGAAGGAGUCCCAGGUGGCAAGGGACCUGGACAAAAUUGUUCAAAAUUAGUAUUAUGUGUACUGCAGUUACAAAAUACAUUAUUCAAAUUCCAAAAUACUUUUGUGAUGUCAGAUUUAAAUUACAAAACAUAAAUCUUACAUAAAACAUUAUGUAAUUAUAAGGAUAAUGGCAGCACGGUGGCACGGUGGUUAGUGCUGUUGCCGCACAGCAAGAAGGUCCUGAGUUCAAUUCCACCAUCAGGCCGGGGUCUUUCUGUGUGGAGUUUGCAUGUUCUCCCUGUGUUUGCGUGGGUUCCCUCCGGGUACUCCGGCUUCCUCCCACCGUCCAAAGACAUGCAGUUUGAGGGGAUAGGUUAAUUGGAUAAUCCAAAUUGUCACUAGGUGUGAAUGUGAACGUGAAUGGUUGUCUGUCCCUGUGUGUUAGCCCUGCGACAGACUGGCGACCUGUCCAGGGUGUACCCCGCCUCUCGCCCUAUGACAGCUGGGAUAGGCUCCAGCGCCCCCCGCGACCCUGGAAAGGAUAAGCGGAAGCGAAUGGAUGGAUAUUAGAUAUAAUAUAAAACAGUCAGUUGUGUUUUGUUUUAACUUUCAAAUAUCAUAAUUUGAUUGGUAGCAACUUUUACCACUACAGUGAGCCAAUCACUUAUAAUUCCUCAACAUGUCAGUCAGGUAGGAAUGAAGUAAGACAUUAAUAGAAAUAAAGAGUUGUAUGUUGACAUGUAGCCCUUUCCUUGCUUAAAUCAUUGUUAAUAUUUUUGAAAAAUUAACCUGUGAUAAGACAUAGCUUAUCAAGAUAGAAUAUGCUAGAUAGAACCAUAUAACUAAAGAUGAACCAAACUUCACAAUUUCAUCUAGCUCUCAGUUUUAAGAAAGGCUGGUGACCCCUGUUAUAGAGUCUGACAGCUGCAGGGAUUAUAUACAAAUAUUCAACUAUACCAGAAUUAAACCAGGUCUAAAUAUAAAAAAAAGGAGUGAGUAUCACUACAAAGAUUACCAACAGUGGUCCUCAUACCACAGUUUGAUAUCAGCAAACACUGAGAGCAUACAUUGAUAGACACCACAGCCAUGCUAUCAUUGCUAACACUGAUAACAGCAUAAAUCGAAUUAAAUCGGGACUUGAUGAGACCUUUCGAGUAUCACUAGAAAUAUUAUAAACCGUCGUCUCCAUACCACAGUUUGCUAUCAGUAAACACCGACGGCAUUCACUGUUAGCAUACCACAUCCAUGUUAGCAGUGUAUAAACGGAUGGUUUAGCAUAUAUUAGCACAGGUAUCAAUAAAGGACUACCGUAUUAAACACUUUUACUAACCUCAGGCAGAUGGACAGGCGCUCUGCAGGUGGGAUUGAGCGCCUGUAGUUGGUGUCUAGGCGGGUGAUUCUGGGACCGACGCGGGACAGCAGGUCCUCAAACUGGGCAAGUGAAAGACGGUGAUAUCGCUGAAAUCGGCCGUCAUCCAGGCGCAGCUCCUGGAGCAAGUGGUGAAACUCACCAAACUGCUCACGCCUCUGGAGGACCGGACCCAGGUACGGCGAGGACGUCCUUAACGCCGCUGCUCUGCUCUCCACAGUAAAUAGAGAAGGGAGACUCUCUCUUCAAGCGCUAGCUCGACAGCUGCCAUCUAGCAAUGAUACCGUCUGGCACAACUUCCUCCCACAUUCCUCCCACAUUUCCGGUUCACGCGCGUCAAAAUAUGCAAUUUUGAGGCGCGAUGGAUUUGUGUUGGACACGCGUCGAGGUGCGAAUGUGCACGGGUCAAAUUAGGGGCGUUUGGGGCGUUUUCGCUCGCCUCUAUCGCGUUCGGUGUGAACACACCGUAAGGUGCUCGUAAAUCUGGGAGCAAUCUGGGUCCUAAACUCCGUCCUUUAGGGUCCCGAAGUCAAACGAACAUCACUGAGAGUUAAAAACUGUCUAAAUUCUUUCAUCUUUAAUAAAACGAUCAGCGUUGCUGCUUUACCAGGUGCAACUAUGAUGUUUAACAUCCAGGCAUCCAUGAAAACAGAAUUCGUUACAUUUAACGGAGUUAGAAGUUAGCAGGAAGUUAGCGGAAGUUAGUUCGCUAGUUUCGCUAGUUACCUAAGCAUGAUAUAGCAUGUUCUGACUGAUUUCUGAAAAAAUUCAAACGUACAGCUCUGCUAUCACUUCCAACAUAAAUGAAGACAGGAAACUACACAGCAGUGACGUUUGUAGGGUCACUGAAGUUGGGCUAGCUGGUAUAUAAUGAUGUGCUACGUGAUCGCUAGCGACACAGCUGUGUUAGCAUAACAUAAACAGUGAAGCUGGAGGAUGAACGCUAACACUUUUCCACUCGAUAAACGUUAACGUGAAGGUUCCUGAUGGUUAGGGACAAAUGCAAUCGCAUGGCAGGAUGCUGUAAACGGACCAAACUUCAGUCAGGAGAACAACUGAGAUAAUCCAUCCACAAUACCAGGUUAGUCAUUAAUGUACUGCAACAACAUGGGAAUAGAGCAGCUGUGAUAGAAUACAGCAUUAAUGAAUCAAUGGUACAGAAGUGGAGGAAGAAAGAAGAAUGAAUUGAAUAAAGUUUUAUUCAUCUGACUGCUUUGUUUAGCUUAAUGUGCGUUAUAAUCCCGUGCACCUUAUGGUCCGAAAAAUACGUUUUUAUUUUAUUUGACUUUUUUAUUUGGCACACUGCAGUUUUAUGUUGCAAAGCUCCUCUUUUUAACUUCAGUGGAUAUUAUACAUGGUUAUGCUCAGGAUAUGUCAGCCCAUUUCUACUGGAAAUGCCUUUUGGUUAAACUUUCAGCAAGGAAUUUGCAUUUGCACUGUUAAAUGUUUACAUAGCUUUAAUGCACAUAAAAAACAGCUGCUUGUUUAAGUAAAAUAAAUGGAUGGGUUGUAUUUUUUGCGCUAGUAAAGUUGUGGAGUUGUAUUUUGUCUCGCAGAAAUUAUAUCGUCAGUUAUAUCGUUAUUGCAAAUUUUAAAAUAUAUAUCGUGAUAUAUAUUUUUGGCCAUAUCGCCCUGCCCUAUAAUCACUGCACAUCUGCUCUAUUGUCACUUGUCUCUCUGUGCUGAAUCCUCCACAAACAUCAGCAGCAGCAUCCUGGAGGUCAGGCCUGGGUCACCAGAUUCCAGAGGUGCUCUAAAAGGCCAGAAAGUUAACAAUCUUCCGUAAAAAGAGUGACACUGGUUUCAACACAGUGUGUGUCUCACAUUGUAUGCUCAUUCUCCCGCUGUAACAUUCAACAUUUUCUCAACAACACAGUGUAAUAGCAUAACCAACACACAGCCUGUAAACAACAUCAGUGACCCAGAAAAGUAGCAGUUAAAGGUAAAGUCUGCAGGCCCCACACUCUCAUGUGACCCUAAAAUCUCCCCCUCUGGUCUCUGUCAUUCUCCUGCUCCUGCAGUAAGGAAACACACAUCCAUACAUCCACCCUUUGUCACAUCUGGGUGGAGGUGCAAUCCUGCAUGUUGGUGUUAAGUCAGUCAACUUCUGUCAAACUUUUGUCAGCCCAGUCAGUUCCCCAUUUUUUUUAUUAUUCAUUGCUGAUAGUAGAAUCUCUCGUCGCAUUUCGUUCCCACUGUCAGCAAUAUGACGCCACUUUAGAAAGAAAAAAGAAUUUAGACUGGAUUACCUUGAAUCCUUUUAAACCGGGACUCGCUCUCUGAUUGUCCCAAAUAAGUGGCUUUCUCCAGAGCCCAUUUUAAUAUGGAAAAGCUCACUUUGCGACCGUUUCCCCGACAACAUGUUGUAUAAUGCUUUCUGUUCUAAUUGUGCAGAUCUCUCAAAUGACAGAGAUUAUCAAACAAAACUUUCAGUGCACUGUGAAAGUAAAAAUUAAGAAAGAAAAGACCUAGUUAAGUCAUGACACAUGCUUUUCAUCUCAGGAGGGUAAAUAAAGUUGAAGCCUAAUUGGCAGGUUCAACUUUAUAACAAAAGAAAAAAAUACGUCAGCCAGAUUAAUCUCAAAACAUCCAUCCAUCAGCCACACACCUCACAAAAUAACCCUAAUGUCUUAUUAGAUCAUGAGUUUCUUCUCAUGUAAUCAGGUGUGUGCCAUGUUAAAACUUUCCUCCACACAUCAGAAACAAGAAACUCAACAACCUAUUGGCCUCACUCAUUCAGACCCCUCAUUCUGUUUGCCCCUGCUAUAAUUUAAUCAUCUGUCCUACUAUAAUAUUAGUCCACUGGUCCAUGUAUCACUUCUCAUCUCAGUGAACUGGACAAGAUGACAAACAGAAACACAUGAUGAACAUGCUGUCUGGUCUUCAUGAGUUUCAUUGUAUGUGUUAGUAUGGUUAAUGCAUUUUCUGUUUGUGUGUGAUUUUGUGUACCUUUCUCUCUGCAGUGUCUCAGACUCCUUCUCAAUUUUCCCACUUGAAGCAGUCAUUUUUCUUCCCAGGUUCGCUAACCCAAAUUUAAUUUCCCACUCUAAACAACAGCAUUCCUCUGUGUCCUCACCUGCUCCGUCCACUUUGGUCUCCUCUCCCCCUUGCAGCAGUCCAGCUUCAGCUUUGUCCUGUGCAGUCCCCACUGUCUCUUUCAUUGCCGUUUCACUCCAAACAUGGAAAAUGUCAAACUCAGACAGUCUUCUCCAAGACCAGUCACACACAGUGAAGUUGCAGCUUGCUGGAAACGCAUCUCCAUCCAUCCAGUCAGAUGAUGGGUUCCCUUUCUCUCUGAUGCCGUUUGGCACAUGCUGCUGCUGGGUCUCUCUGCUCAAGACUCUGCUGUUGUCUCUUGGACUGCCAUGUUGUUGCUUUUUGGAACUGCAUUUCUUGUCUUCAAGGAGAAGUUAGCGUCCUUGGAGCUCGCUUUUCAGGAUGAGGAAUCAGAAUCAGAAAGACUUUAUUUAUCCCCAAGGGGCAAUUAACACAUAGAAGUGAAGCUGGAAACAAUUCAGCCAAAACUCGGCCUGAGUGUUUCUAAUGAUGUUAACCUAUAAUUUUCUUCCGACCGCUGCAAGUGGAAAAUUGAUCCAGGUCUGUUUCCCCAUCUGCAAGUGACACACUGAGAGACAUGUUCAUCAUUCUUAUCACUGCUUAAAUAAGACAUCUCCUCUCUCUGGUUUCGAACUCUGCACCCGACUCUAAUAGCCUGGCAGCAUAUUGUCAGCAAGUGGAUUUACUCAUUUGCUUCUGAGAACUGAAUGUUUCAAAACCAAGGAGCAGUGCUGCCGUUGAAGAGUCACUCCUGACGAAGCAACGACUCACACGCUGUUUCAGCGCCUGGAGGUCAAAGGGCAGGUGGUGCAGCAGCUCGGUGCCUUUAGGUACCCGAACAGUGAAGAGACUCAGAAUACUUUAUU